rnacentral:rRNA from 1 species
CCUACGGGAGGCAGCAGUGGGGAAUUUUGGACAAUGGGCGCAAGCCUGAUCCAGCAAUGCCGCGUGAGUGAAGAAGGCCUUCGGGUUGUAAAGCUCUUUUGUCAGGGAAGAAACGGUUGUUCCUAAUACGGAUGGCUAAUGACGGUACCUGAAGAAUAAGCACCGGCUAACUACGUGCCAGCAGCCGCGGUAAUACGUAGGGUGCAAGCGUUAAUCGGAAUUACUGGGCGUAAAGCGUGCGCAGGCGGUUAUAUAAGUCAGAUGUGAAAUCCCCGGGCUCAACCUGGGAACUGCAUUUGAGACUGUAUGGCUAGAGUGUGUCAGAGGGGGGUAGAAUUCCACGUGUAGCAGUGAAAUGCGUAGAUAUGUGGAGGAAUACCGAUGGCGAAGGCAGCCCCCUGGGAUAACACUGACGCUCAUGCACGAAAGCGUGGGGAGCAAACAGGAUUAGAUACCCUGGUAGUCCACGCCCUAAACGAUGUCUACUAGUUGUCGGGACUUAAUUGUCUUGGUAACGCAGCUACGCGNGAGUAGACGCCGUGGAGGUACGGUCGCGAGAGUAAACGUACGAAGAAGUAGUACGGCGUGAGACGUAGCGACGACGACGACGAGGGAGGAGG